UACCUGGUUGAUCCUGCCAGUAGUCAUAUGCUUGUCUCAAAGAUUAAGCCAUGCAAGUCUAAGUACCAGCUCUCGUACAGUGAAACUGCGAAUGGCUCAUUAAAUCAGUUAUGGUUCAUUUGAUCGUACAGUUUACUUGGAUAACUGUGGUAAUUCUAGAGCUAAUACAUGCGAGAAGCGCCGACCUCGCGGGAGGCGUGCAUUUAUCAGACCAAAAACCGGCCGCGUCUUCGGGCGCGUUCGCCUUGGUGACUCUGGAUAACUUUGCGGAUCGCACGGUCUAGCACCGGCGACGGAUCAUUCAAGUGUCUGCCCUAUCAACUUUCGUCGGUACGGUAUUUGCCUACCGAGGUUCUUACGGGUGACGGGGAAUCAGGGUUCGAUUCCGGAGAGGGAGCCUGAGAAACGGCUACCACAUCCAAGGAAGGCAGCAGGCGCGCAAAUUACCCAUUCCCGACGCGGGGAGGUAGUGACGAAAAAUAACAAUGCAGGACUCGUUCGAGGCCCUGUAAUUGGAAUGAGUACACUUUAAAAGCUUUAACGAGUAUCCAUUGGAGGGCAAGUCUGGUGCCAGCAGCCGCGGUAAUUCCAGCUCCAAAGUAUAUCUUUAAGUUGUUGCGGUUAAAAAGCUCGUAGUUGGAUUUUGGGCGCAGGCGGCCGGUCCGUCGCAAGGCGUGUACUGGACGUCCUGGCCUUCCCUCCGGUUCUCCGCCGGUGCUCUUGACUGAGUGUCGGCGGCGGCCGGAACGUUUACUUUGAAAAAAUUAGAGUGUUCAAAGCAGGCUCUCGAGCCUGGAUAAUGGUGCAUGGAAUAAUGGAAUAGGACCUCGGUUCUAUUUUGUUGGUUUUCGGAGCGCGAGGUAAUGAUUAAGAGGGACAGACGGGGGCAUUCGUACUGUGCCGUUAGAGGUGAAAUUCUUGGAUCGGCGCAAGACGAACGACUGCGAAAGCAUUUGCCAAGAAUGUUUUCUUUAAUCAAGAGCGAAAGUCAGAGGUUCGAAGACGAUCAGAUACCGUCCUAGUUCUGACUAUAAACGAUGCCAACUAGCGAUCGGGGGGCGUUACAUUGACGACCCCUCCGGCAGCUUACGGGAAACCAAAGUCUUUGGGUUCCGGGGGAAGUAUGGUUGCAAAGCUGAAACUUAAAGGAAUUGACGGAAGGGCACCACCAGGAGUGGAGCCUGCGGCUUAAUUUGACUCAACACGGGAAAUCUCACCCGGCCCG
rfam:Ciona savignyi cont_45516, whole genome shotgun sequence.